GCACCAGCAACUACCGCUCGCAGUCUCGCCGCCUGCCGCCGCACGUCGCCGUGCUCCGCAGCGCGCCGCCCGCAUCCGCCCGCGCCGUCCACCAUCCGGAUCCUGCCUGCCACUACACCACGAAAAACUUUAGGGGCAAUCAAUUGCCGGGAAAGGUUAAGAAUCCGAGUCACUUGAUCUGCCAGCAAAUCUUGAACUGCCGGGAAAAUAUUGAUAGGGCAUGUUAUCUGCCGGCAAUAAUGGACCUAGAAAGGCAGUUUAUCUGCCGGCAUCUUCGGGUCAGUCCAUCUGCCCUUGAAUGCAAACGAGGGCAGAUGCACUGCCGGUAUGCAAUGUCAGCGGGUAAUGAAAAUUUCGGCCCAAGAAGCCCGCGAGGCAGCCACAGACGCUGUAGAAGUCACUGGAAGCAAGUCAACAAAAAAAAGAAGUCACUGGAAGCGCCACGCAACCCUAAUAUCUCUCCUCGUACCCAUCGCUUCCCUCAGCCGCCGCACUUACCAUUCCCAUCCUCUCGCGCUACAAGCAGCACCGUCACCCCGGAUCCCGCACCUACCGCCGCCGCCUAGUGCCUCGCCCCAUCUUCUUCAUCCACACUGCCCCGCCCAUCGUCGCCGCCUCAUCCCCUUCAUCGCCCUCGCCGCCGCCAAGUGCCUUCGCGCUCGCAUCCCACACCAGCGAUACCGUCUCCGCAUACUCAUCCACGCCGCCGCCGGAGGUCAGCGGCAAGCUCGGAGGCGACCUCCACGAACCCCCUGGCGAUCUCGCCUCGAGAGAAUGCAGUCGAUGCUGUCGUCUGCAGGUUCGUUCACCCUGGUGGCCGCGCUGGCGGGGUGGGCCUGGCCUUGGCCGCCCUCUACCCGCCCUUCAUCACUCGUUGCCUAUGGUGUGCCCCCACCAUCUCGGGCAAUCUUGCAGAUCUAGCGCCCACACCCUCUCUGUUCUUCUGCUUUCCUCAGCAUGUGUCUAUACUCUGUACGAUGCUCCCUCUUCUACCUUUUUGUUCCUCUGUUCUGCUUCUUGCGAAUAGUAACUGUAUGCAUGGUCCGGAUAAAGUUUAUUGUGAGAGUUGUUCUGCAUUAUAACUAUGUACUAAAUAUGCUCUGUUUUAGUCUCUCAUUCGCUUUAAAAUCAAAUGCCCACCACAGCCAUAUCUUAACCAAUCAAAUUCAGUGUCCUGUUUGCAGUUUCUGCAGUGCAAAAAGUCAUUUUGAUUCUGGUCAUUGCCUUAAAACAAGUAAUCAUUCUAGUUGUUCUUCAGAUAUUUUGUUUGCAAUUCUGCAUAUAUACAAGGAGCCAAUAGAAGUGACAGAACAUGGGCUUAUGUGGGUCUACUUUUGUUGUUGUGCAGUAAUGCAUGGCUCAAGUUUGCUCUGACUAGAAGCUGCUACUGGCAAAUGCUGAUGUGGCUAGAUGACAUCGUAUCGUUUGAGUUUGAGUCAGCUAGCAUAAAGAUUUUGCUCUCAAAUGCAGUUCUUUAGUUAUACUUAAUGACAUGUUUUGUGCCCUGGCGUGUUUGUGAGAUACCGAGAAGUCUUGCUUCUUUCAUUGCGUCGCUUGCCUUUUCUCCUAAAAUUUACAUGCAGAAAAACCUUGAUGGGCCCAAAGCUGUCCAGAUGCAUUGUAAAUGAUGGUUGAGAUGUGCAAAACGGAAUGGAAAGAAACUUCUUGUGCUUGCAGGGAGCGGAAGCGGAUGUGAUCGGGGGUUACCAUCAAGAAAGUGCUUCCUUGGAUCGCUAGGAAAGGAAAAUAGUGAGUUUGUUACUUGAGUAAAACUAUCAUCUUCGUUCUUAAUUUUUAUUGGCUCUUUAAUGAGUAGAUACUAUGUAGUAUCUUGGCACCUUGUUACGAUUAAGACAUACAUCUAUUGGCUCUCCAAUCAAUACAUACUAUAGUACUUGCUCUCUCUGAAAAAUGGUUGAACAAUGCCAAACUGAAAGUAAUAAAGAUGCUGGCACUCAUUCAUUUAUAGUUCCAUAUAAACAUGCAAAAAAAUGGAAUUUCAUGCUUUGACGUGUUACGUACCGAAACUUCAUGUUGUUUGUCAGUAUGGAGAACCCUGGGUAGUUAGCGCUUGUGUUUUGCUCAUGCUCCUGGCAAAUCCUUUUGGAUCAGAAAGCUUCUGUGCUCUGGUAUGCUCGUUGGUAAUUUUUAUUUCAAAGUGGCUAGUUUCUACUCAUUCCUAUUUCGGUCUUUAAGAAUAGUUUGGAAACUUACAAUGAGGAUGUGUUUCAUUCUGCAACAUUUGUAAGCUAUGUUGUUAAAUAUUGUUUCUUAAAUUACUGCAGAGUUAAGGUUCUUUUUCCCCGGUGUAUUGCUUUAAAGAAUAAGGCCUUAAAGGGUGUCUUUAAAACUGUACUAGUCUUAGUUGUACAUGUACUAGUCUUGUUGCUGUCACUGGGCAUUUUCAAUAUGUUUAUUUGAUAUUCAGAGAAUAAGUAGUUUAUAUGUAUUUUAUGCUGGAUGAAAAUAUUUCCAUAUAUAAACAUGCCAUGGCUAAUUGGUAAUUUUACUACAUGUUGGAUGCUUUUUUGACCUUCUGGGAGAUAUGAUAUAUGAGCAAGUGUUUCAAACUUUUGACCUUUUCUGUUCAGUUUAUAUGUAAACUACUACCUUCUGAAGAUAUGAAAAUGAAUGCCAUGUGAUACAAGUUAACCUUGCUUACUGUACUGUGAACUGAACCGCCUUUUGUCUCUUGGGAUGUUGAAAUUUCACCAGUAUUAUAUAUCACAAGUCAAACUGAACUUGAGAGUUUCAUCUAUGUGACAAAAUCUUCAGUGAGAGCUUAGCUAAUCGCUUCAACUCUGUCGUAUCAUAGCAUUUGCGUGAACUAUGGUUUGGACCGUUAACAAUGGAAAGCUUCUUUAUUUGGAAAAAAAUCAGUGCAUAGACAAUAGAGGAAUCAUUUGAGUAGUUCUAUGGCAUGGUUUGAGAUCUUCUGUAGUGCAGAGUUUUCUUGCAUUGCUUUGCCUGUGUAGAAUCCACUUCCUCACGGCACAUUUACCAUUUUCUCAGAUGCGCAAAGGUAAUCUGUGUCAGUUUUCUCCAUCUCCAUUGCUUAAUGCUCAUUCCUUUACAUUAGUGCAUCUAAGUGGACCAUCUUUUAGUAAUAGGUGUGUUUGUUUUCAUUCCAGUAAAUAAAUAUUAAGCAAUUACAUUUGAGAUGACUAGGCCUUAUAUCUGAUUCACUCAAACAAUUAAAUGCAUGUUAAAUGUAAACGCCACAUUGUAAAGUGCUAAGAGCAUUGUUUGUUUAUAAUCUGGUAUUUGUUCUAUAAUGUACUAUCUGGUUGAAGCGAUGGAGUCUAGUGAGUAGGUUGUGCUUUUAUUAAAUACUUGUGAGAUGUCGUAAUUGGUUUGCUUCUUUUUUCAAGUCUGCUCUUGCACCACAAGUUUAUAGAUGUGUGUUUUGUGAGCUAAAAGGACCUAUUGGUAGAAUCUAACUCGGUUUUUGGAUUUUAUUAUCUAUCUGUUGAAGUAGCACUCUUGGAUGGAAUCAGUAUCUAACUGAAACUAGAUGUUAUAUUUAGUGAUGUUAUACUGGAGACAUGAACCUACAAAUGUAUGUAUGUAUACACGAUGGAUUGUUGUCCUUUUGGCUGUGAUGUAGUACUGGACUUGUGAACCUGUAUGUAUGCUGUGUAUACAUAUGUAUGUAUGCAGACAUGAUGUAUUGUUGAGAUAUAUAUUAUGAUGCAACUUUAAUUACUUGA